GUUAGGAUGAUAGCAUUGUUGAAAUAUAACAACCCUACAGCUGUUGGCUGGAGCGCUUUAAAGUCAGUGCCCACUUCCUAGAUGGUAUAGAGGUGGGUCUUCCUGAGGGUUCAGCAUUCGCAUGUGGUAGAGGAUUAAAAGUCUGUAUGAAGGCUGGGGUUAGGGCUGUGGGAUUCCUAGGUUCUGAGCUGGGUCAGGAAGCCCAGGUGAAAUAGGCGACCUCAUCCAGGUCGACAGGGUAAUCCGUGAGCAGCACCGGCGUCUUGUCAAAAAGUUCACCCUUGUAGCUUCGCCAUUUGCCGGCAGGCAGGUAGACAUCACGCUCUUGCUUACCAGGCUCUAGCACCGGCGCCACCAACAGCGUGUCCCCGAUGAGAAACUGUGAGUCAAUGCGAUGGGCCGUUUCAUCCCCCGGUGCGAUCCACCACAGGGGGCGCACGAUGGGGUCGCCAGUGUCGGUGAUCUCACCAGCAAGCUCUAGCAGCAGUGGCGCCACGAGGGAGGCGCGCAGAGCAGCGAAUUUGUGUGCGAUGGCUACCACUUCUGCGUCGUACUGCCAAGGAGGGAUUGAAAACUGCAUGGCAGGCAUGAAGGCGGCCACCUCCAGCCAGCGCACGUAGAGCUCGCGCUCUGGCCCCGGCCCAUCUUGGCGGCCGGCUGUGCGCUCCGGCACCGCGUUGCCACCUAUCAUAUCGGGCAAGAUGAACGGAUAGCCCAGCAUACUGACGGUGAGCACCGCAGGGAUAAGAGAGCGCAGCCCCAGGUCGUAGCCCCAUACCGAGUCGCGGUCCACUAGACGGAAGAAGCAGGAGAUGUUCUGUGACUGGUACCCCACGCGGACCUCGGCUAGCGAGAAGAAGGGCUCCGCCAUCUCGGUGUACCGCCUGCUCCACACACUGGGGUCAGACAGAGGCCUGUAGGUGCUGAAGUCCCUGGGCAGGUAGCUGACCUCACCCGCGUCGAACUUAAAGGAGGUCACGUUGUAGCGCAAGCGCAGGCGCCGUAGGUGUCCCUGGAACCACUCUCGGGCCUCUGGGUGCGUGAAGUCCAGCACUGCGCCAAUACCGUUCCACCAGCGCACCAGCGCGGGCAGCCGGCCCGUGGGCUCGCGCACGAACAGCUCGCGCUCCACACCUUCGCCGAAGCUCGACGAGUUAUAGUUGACAAACGGAUGCACCCAAAGUGUGACGCGGAAGCCGGCAUCUCGCAGGCGGCGGAACAUGUCACUGGCGUUGGGAAACUUGCCCUCGUCGAAAUUAAAGUCGCCAUAGGCGGGCGUGUACAUGUCAUCGAUUUCCAGGUGGCUGCUAUUAAAGCGGUGCUGGCGGAUCUGCUGGGCGAAUUGCAGCACCUUGUUCUGGUCCACAGCGCGCCCAUGCAGUGCCCACGUGGACCAAAUGGGGUCUCGGAAGGCCUCUGACGCUGGUACCCUGGAUGGCUUGUUGAAGUAACGUCGAACCAUGUACUUGUGGAUGGAAGUGACAUCUGAGCCCACGCACACGCGGUAGCUGAGCUCUGGCGCGGCAGUACGGCCAGCUGGUGGCUUGUAAGAUGUGUCGUGGUAGCGUGCCUGCAGUCUCAUCGAACGCUCCGUGCUAUUCCAGCCCAGGUGGAAGGGCACUGAAUCAUUGACUUUGAUGGCAGCGGCGCGUGAAGAUAACCAGUAGCGCUCAAGGAUGCCCCCGAAUGCGGCGUCAGAUGAAUAGACGUCGCUCGUGACAAAUGGCUGCGGUUCUUGCUGGCCAUCUAGGCGGAUGGGCCAGUGUUGCGUCCUCAUCUCUGCGCCGCCAUACCAGUGCGCCGCAGCAUCUCCCAGAAACAUCGCGUGCUCCACAGCACGCCCUGGCACAGCUUCCUCCCAGCGCACGCGGUAGCACAUUACAGUGUCCUUAGGUCGUACUGUCUGAAUAAAGAAGUGCAACGGGCGUCCGUCGGCCGCUCGGGAGCAGCCAAGCAGCGCACCAUCCCGGCUGCAGGAGUCAAGGUCUAGAGCACCGGAACGGAAGGCCAAGCGGAAGACUUGCUCACCCUUCUGGUUACGGAUGGAGAAGCCGCCACGGUUCAGGUCCAGCAGCUCCGCGCGCAGGCGUUCAGCUUUGCGUAGGGAGGCACUGUAGUAGCACCAGGCCACAACUGCGGCCAACACCAGUAGCAGUCCCAGUACCGCGGAGCACAGCAGAGGUCUCAGCUCUUUAGUGGGCUUGGGUUUGGCAGGUGAAAAAUUGUCAGGCAGGAAAGUGUACAUGGUUGCUCGUGGGGUAACUUUGAGACUUUUAGGGCCUGCGUGGCUACCAGGUCGAUGUCGGGGGUAGGCCUGGCUUGUCUCCUGAAGGUUCUGGGACAUCAGUUCCUAGCGAAGGAAGGAACCACCACUCCGGGGCC
rnacentral:lncRNA from 1 species